UGUUGGCGAAAUUUCGGCUUGUUCAAAAUCAGCAGCAAAGCUCUGCCGUCAGUGGGACAAGGGGCUGACUGACAGAAUUGCAAAAGAAGGUGAUUGGAAAGUAAGCUGGGAAGGCAGAAGCAGAUUAUUUUUCCUACGUUGAGAAACAUGGAUAGACUCAUCCUAUACACAACUGACAGAGGAUAGAGGCUGGGGAAACAGCUGAUUGUGAGUUUAUCUGGAAUUAACAGAAUUGUCUUUAGAGGCAGAGGGGCCAGAACAUGUUCUGGCAAAGGAAAAGGGAGAGAAAAAGACUUAAAUUCUUAGAGUGUGUGGAUACAUUUGGUUAGAAGAUAAACAUGAGAAGUCUGAGAAACAGACAUGGCACUACUUCAUGGAAA